rnacentral:tRNA from 1 species
GCGGCUGUAGUUUAGUGGUAUGACGACUCCUUGCCAUGGAGUAGACCCGGGUCCGAUUCCCGGCAGCCGCACCA